CCUCCAUCUACUAACUGCUCCUGCACUUUGAAGGCUCCAGGGAUGACCCCAUGCAUGCUCAGUGAUCCCUGAUCCAUAAAAGAUUCCGCGCCCCUGCUUUAGAAGGUCUCUAUGCUGGUAACAUGGUGGAGGAAGAUGGGCAAGAUAGGAUCAACUAUUGCAAGGAUUCUGCAGCAAUUUGGAUUUUCCUGCACCUUGGACAUACACAAAGGAAUUCAAAACUUUCCCUUCUCGCAUUCCAUUGUGCCAAGUGCAGCAGCUGCGAGUGCAGAGCUCACCACCUCACGCAGAACAUUCUCCCGCACCCGGGUCAGCAGGCUGACCUGUAACCAGGAGGAGUACCAGCGGUAGCACCUGGGGAUCCUGUGAGGCCAGCACUGCACCCUAGACUACUGGGUGCAUGAAGACCUGCAGCUCCGGCGGGAGAGCUGGAGGGAGCUGCUUGCUCAGAGUUGUGCCAUCUGCAACUGACAGCUUCUUCUCCCCCUUACUCACCUUGCUUCCUCCUUCCAGCUCCCUUCUCCCAGGUUUACCC